ACCCCCUUUUGCCUUCAGAACCGCUGUAAUUCUUCAUGUCAUAGAUUCAACAAGGUGUUGGCAACAGUCGUCAGAGAUGUUGGUUCAUACUGACAUGAUAGCAUCAGCCAGUCGCUCAUUCAACCAUUCUACCCAUUUUCCACUGACCU